GCUAUGUCUAUGUUUUGUCUUUCGUCUUUGUAGUAACUUUGUUUAUGUCCCUUUGCAAACUAACAAACUGAACUUUGGAUCUAUGUCACUGGAUUACUGACUUUGCAACUAAGAGCUUCUGAAUGAAUUACGUUCUGAGUACUUCCUUUCCAAGUAUAGUCUCUGUUUGGAUCAUCGUUUCAAGCUGGCAGUUUCCCUGCUUCCUUCGUCUCCAGGAUCAAGAACUAGGCGUACCCUGUCCACCCUCUAACGCAAGUAUCAGCACAAAGGAAUUAACUCUCUCAUCUCUAAGCUCAUCUAAGAAGCAACUAAGAAACCAACUGAACAAACUCAACCACGACAGCUUGGAUCCCAAAUCCCUCUACCCCUGGCGACGUGACCAUUCAUUGGUGUUUUCGUCCGUUUCCGUUCCAGAAUAUUUUAUGACAAAAUAAAUAUUAUUUUCACUUUU